UGGGGAAUAUUGGACAAUGGGCGAAAGCCUGAUCCAGCAAUGCCGCGUGAGUGAUGAAGGCCUUAGGGUUGUAAAGCUCUUUUACCAGGGAUGAUAAUGACAGUACCUGGAGAAUAAGCUCCGGCUAACUCCGUGCCAGCAGCCGCGGUAAUACGGAGGGAGCUAGCGUUGUUCGGAAUUACUGGGCGUAAAGCGUACGUAGGCGGUGACUCAAGUCAGAGGUGAAAGCCUGGAGCUCAACUCCAGAACUGCCUUUGAAACUAGGUCGCUAGAAUCACGGAGAGGUGAGUGGAGUUCCGAGUGUAGAGGUGAAAUUCGUAGAUAUUCGGAAGAACACCAGUGGCGAAGGCGGCUCACUGGACGUGUAUUGACGCUGAGGUACGAAAGCGUGGGGAGCAAACAGGAUUAGAUACCCCCGUAGUCCCUGAGCGGGCUGGCAAGGCGCAU
rnacentral:rRNA from 1 species